CCCGGCGGCAAAUUUCCCUCCAUUGAGUGCUUUCAUUCUCCUCAAAUCUCCUAAAAUCUACCUUUCCCCCAAAUCUCCUAAAUAUAAUUCUCCCCCAAAUCUUUCAAAGGCCAUUCAUCUUCACCACAAAGAACCACCGUCUUCACUUGUGACCGUCUGCCACUGCUGGAAACGAACCGCCAUUGACGACUCUUCUUGAAUCUGGGCUUGUGUCGAACCGUCUUCAAUGAGCAUGUGUCGAAUCUGCGUGAAUCUGGUCUUGUUUCGAAUCCGACGUUAGGGUUUCCAUCAGAUUUCUAUUCACCACCAAGGGUUUCCACUAUAAAUGCUACCAUUCAUCAACCCCCCACUCUACAAUCUUCCUUCUUCUUUACAUAACCAGGGAGUUUUAACUUCAUUUUUUUUAUUUACAUAGAGUUAUGGUGUUCUCUCUGGUCGAAUCUUAUUGUUAUUUUUUAUAUUUAAGUUGUUUACAUGAUUUUUUUGUUAAAUUAUCCUCCUGCAUUUCAAUUUUGGCUUUAGUUACAUUGUCCUACGUGUCAUUAUUAGUAUUCAUGUUAUAUAUUCAUUGUUGUCAUGAGCUUAAUGUAUAUAUUUAAUGGAAACAGUGAGUUUAUUAGCAAACGUUUUAGUUUAUAUGAUAUAUAUCUUAAAUCGGCAUUUUCUCUUUUAUGAUAUUUAGAUAGUGGUGUUUGGAAACAGAUUUUUGAUAGUUAAUGGUCUAAAAGUUUAGCAUUUUAGAUUAUUGAUAAAUCUAUUAUGUCCUGCAAGAGUUCAGAUUUUAAAAUUAGAUUAUCUUGAAUAAAGAUUUUUUUUGGAACUGAUGUUUCUUGUCUUGUUUGUAUAUGUUCUUGGACAACAUUUAAUGUGAUUCUUUUGGCUCUUUGUAAUUAUGUAAUUAAGAUGUGGUUCUUUGCUGAUUUUAGAAUCGAGAAUACUAUGUAGCUGUAAGGAAGAGAAAUUUGAGUUUUGUGUGAAGUCAUCUUGAAAUGUUAGAAGCAAAACUAGGAGAAGAGUUAAGUCACUUGAAGACGCUGGGAUGUGAAGAAAAUUAAAAACUAAGCAAAACUAGGAGAAGAGUUAAGACAUACGAAGAUGCUGGGAUGUGAAGAAAAUAAAAAACUAAAGAUGUCAUUAUGAAGUGCUAUGUAUGAAUGUUUUGUGGGGUUUUGACAUUUCUUUUUAGAAAUUUUGCAUUAGGAAUUUUCAGCACCACUUGAUAAUACAUUGUAGGAGGAUGUGCUUUAGAAGAAAACUGAAGUGCUUGAUGUUAUAUUUUUUGCUGUUAAUUUAAUUGCAGAAAAGAUAUAAGGAAAUUAAAAAAAUCGGGUUAAAUGGGUGGUAUUCGGGUUAACCUGUGAAUAUUCGGGUCGUGUUUGGGUUCAUAUGUCUUAUAUUAUUUUCGGGUUCGGGUAAAAUUUUCGGGUUCAGGUCGGGUUGGACCUGUCAACCCCCGAACCCGACCCGUUAAGCACCCCUAGACUGAAGGUUGAUCCUGUUUGCAAACGCCCUGUAAAUUAUACAUGUUUUUUUUUAUUUUAUUGUUUUCUUGUUUGAGGUAUUCUCAUUUGAACAAUACUCAAAAGUGGAAUUUGUUUUCCCUUCUUAUUGCAGUUUUGGACUGAAGUUUUGUGCAGUGGUCGCCGUUAGGGAGCUACUUAGCAACUGUACAUAAACAGGGUGCUGUUGUGUGGGGUGGUGCUUCUAGUUUUAAUCAACUAAUGCGAUAUGUUCAUCCACAUGUUCUUAUGAUCAUGGUUUUCUUAUUUCCAGUAAUUAGUUUUUUAAUUAUUCUUUAGAUUAUUUGCAUAUGAUCCUGAAACUAUGCUCUUAACUAUAAGUCAACUUAUUGACUUCUCUCCUGGUGAGAAAUAUUUGGCUAAUUGCAGCAGUCAUGAACCAAGCAACCCUCGCGACACUCAUAGAGUAGUGCUUAACAUAUUUGAUGUGAGAACUGGAAAAAUAAUGAAAGGUUUCAACGAAAGGGCAGAUGAGUUUGCGUUUGGAGAAACCGGCGGUUUCACUGGGGUUUCUUGGCCUGUUUUCAGUUUUCAUGGAGGCCUCGGCCGCCAUCCUUGUUGUGUCCCGAGAAGGAGGAAGAAACAUUGAAGAAUCUUAAAAAAUACAGUGGAAAGUAUGAGAUUGAGGAUCAAGACAUAUCAGUUCUGACCGGACCCGUUCCGACCCAAACCCGUUUCAACCCGAACCAAAAACAACCUUUUUUUUUAUAAUUGACUCGUUUUGACUCGAACCCGUUUGACCCGAACACAUUUUGACCCAUGUCCUGACCCAACCCAACCCGUUUGCCAAGUUUAAGUGGAGCCCUUGUGUACAUUAACUAUCACGCUCUUGUUUAUAAGUGUCAGUUGAGCCGUUGCAUAUCUGGCAGAUCAUAUGGCUCACAUAUCCACAUUUUAUGGGAAAAACCAUAUAGAUCUCUGUUUUUCUAUAUCAUUGUAUGUUGUAUGUGAUAAGCUUGCUUUUUUAAUAGUCAUAUCUAUGUUUUUUUUUUUCAUGUUGGGUGUAACUUUGGGCGAAGCUAUGCGAAAGAGAAGUUGAGUCUGGAAAGCCAGAUCUACUGAAAUGCUGUUGAUUUUUAGUCCUAAACGACUUUAUAUUACUGUACAGGCCUGCUGGAAUAUUGUUGAUUUCAUAACAUGUUGACAGUUCAUAGGGGCACAUUUAUCUAUCUAUCUAUCUAGGGCGUGACCCGACCCGAGCGCACGAUGAACAUUUGGGUAAGUAUCUGAUGAAGAAGCGGAUGAUGACACGGAUAUGACGUACAAUUAUUACAUUUUAUAUGUUAGGUAGUUUUAUGACGUGUUUGUGAAUUGUGACGUUUGUGACGUUUAU